UACGUAGGGCGCAAGCGUUGUCCGGAAUUAUUGGGCGUAAAGAGCUCGUAGGCGGUCUGUCGCGUCCGUUGUGAAAACUCGAGGCUCAACCUCGGGCUUGCAGUGGAUACGGGCAGACUAGAGUGCGGUAGGGGAGACUGGAAUUCCUGGUGUAGCAGUGAAAUGCGUAGAUAUCAGGAGGAAUACCGAUGGCGAAGGCAGGUCUCUGGGCUGACACUGACGCUCAUGCACGAAAGCGUGGGGAGCAAACAGGAUUAG
rnacentral:rRNA from 1 species